rnacentral:rRNA from 1 species
GACGAACGCUGGCGGCGUGCCUAACACAUGCAAGUCGAGCGGGGUUGAAGCGAGGGGUAACUCGGACUUCUACCUAGCGGCGGACGGGUGAGUAACGCGUGGGCAACCUGCCUCAAGGUUUGGGAUAACAGCUCGAAAGGGCUGCUAAUACCGGAUAUGCCUGUGGCCUCGCAUGGGGCUAUGAGCAAAGGGGAAACCCGCCUUGAGAUGGGCCCGCGUCCCAUCAGCUAGUUGGUGAGGUGAAGGCUCACCAAGGCGACGACGGGUAGCCGGCCUGAGAGGGUGACCGGCCACACUGGGACUGAGACACGGCCCAGACUCCUACGGGGGCAGCAGUGGGGGAUCUUGCACAAUGGGCGAAAGCCUGAUGCAGCGACGCCGCGUGAGCGAAGAAGGCCUUCGGGUUGUAAAGCUCUGUCUGGAGGGACGAAGAAAAUGACGGUACCUCCGGAGGAAACCACGGCUAACUACGUGCCAGCCGCCGCGGUAAAAC